rnacentral:misc_RNA from 1 species
GCUUGUGAUGCUUUGGGUAAGCAACUAGCCCAUAUAGAUCAUACUUGUCAAUUAUUUUCAAUACUGUUGUGAGAACACUUGCAUUGCCACCAGACAUCUCAUCUAUAUCAUCCCUGUUUCCCAUGAUUAGUGUAAGAUUGGCAAGCUCUCUUAAUGGACGGCACUCUCCAAAGGCUUUAAGUAGAGUGGUAAUAUUUUUCUUUGGGUCAGGCCUUGACAAGGCCAAAAUCAUUGGCUUGUGAGGAUUAGUUAGGAAUCUCAUGACUUCAGACCAUAUUGCAGGGAUUGCUUUUGGGGAAGACCCAUCAGUACCACCAAUAAGU